AGCCUGGAGACAGGUGCUGCAUGGCUGUCGUCAGCUCGUGUCGUGAGUAGUGUUCGGGUUAAGUCCCGCAACGAGCCGCAACCCCUUAUCUUUAGUUGCCAUCAUUGAGUUGGGCACUCUAAAGAGACUGGACCGGUGGUCAAACCGGAGGAAGUGGGAUGACGUCAAGUCCUCAUGGCCUUUAUGACCAGGGCUACACACGUACUACAAUGGCCGGUACAAAGGGCAGCGACACAGCGAUGUGAAGCGAAUCCCGAAAAGCCGGUCUCAGUCCGGAUUGGAGUCUGCAACUCGACUCCAUGAAGUUGGAAUCGCUAGUAAUCGCGGAUCAGCACGCCGCGGUGAAUACGUUCCCGGGCCUU
rnacentral:rRNA from 1 species